rnacentral:rRNA from 1 species
UUUCAAGGACUAAGCCAUGCACGCGUGAGAGCAAGUNGCCACUGCUGCCAAACCUAUCUGCGAAUGGCUCAUUAGACCAGCGAUGAUCUCAGCAGAGAGUGCUUCACCUGUUUGGGAGUGAGCCCGGCGUUCCAUUAACUUGGUUCUGCCACUUUUGCCCUCCCAGGGGGCUUAGGGAAACCUAUUCCUCUUGGGGGAGGUAACGGGGCUCUAGGCGAUUUUGGAUACCCUCUUUCUGAAAUAGUUGGCUAAUACGUGUGGGAGAAAAAUCCCGUCCAGUCCUGAACGGCCUAGGUUCUGUGACAGGAUCCACUGGGCUGCUACAAAGAUGAAGUCUUGCUAGACGUGGCAACUUCUCUUUAAGGUGGAACCAAGCCUUCUGUGGAAGAUCGAGGGACGUGCCUUUCUUGUUUCCCUUGGGACUCUAGAAUUGCCCGGGCUUUCGCCCUGCAAAUUUCUUGUCCCUAUGGGUUCAAGGUUGCCGACCCUGUAAGGAAGUUACUCAAUGGAUAUGGUCUAGGGGAUAUCUUUAAACACACCCCUCUACUCUGCUCGAGCUUCUGCCCCAUCAGCCAGAUGGAGGUUCUUUGGACCACGAUGGCGAUGACGGGUAACGUGGGAUUAGGGUUCGAUCCCGGAGAGGGAGCCUGAAAGACGGCUACUACAACCAAGGUUGGCAGCAGGCGCGCAAAUUGCUCAAUAUCGAUGUGCAUUGGUGAAGCAGCGACGAGAAGUGCUACCAAUCUUCGGUCUUACGAUCGAGAUUGUCCUGGAAUGAAUGAGGACCCAAGGAAUGCAGUGAGCAUCAACUUGUGGGCAAGUCUGGUGCCAGCAGCCGCGGUAAUUCCAGCACAAGUAGCCUACUUUGAUGUUUGUUGCCGUUAAAAAGCUCGUAGUUGGUUGGCACCCAAGUUUGCCCAUGGAUACCAAGGGAUCAUCGAUGCCAAGGUGACCAUGGGUGGCUUGUGGUACCUCCUCAGCCCUGCCUUUAGUUUCUUCACACCCCCGUGGGAAACUCUGAACCGGUGCAUCGCGCCCUAGUAGGAGGGACUCCAGUUGGGAGCUGAACCGAGGUGCAGAGGUAUGGGGUUCUCAAAGGGAGCAAUUCUCCGUUUAGCGAGGAAGCAGUUGGUGGCGUUAGGGACAUGGGACCUAAUCAUCGAUUAGUACCUGCCCCUACGAAGUACCUCUGUGACCUCAGAGCCAUGGAUGCUCACUGGCCUACAUCCUGAAACGUUACCGAAGGCCCGAAGCACCUUACCCUUGCUCGUCUUGGUUUCCAGUCAUCGACUGGGUAUCCGAGGUAGCGACUGUUACUUGGGCGUUGGAUACUUGUAUCCGAUGCCCUCCGUUGCUAUUGAGUGCAGAGUGGGUGCCAAGGCAAGAGGAGAUGCCCAUUGGGCUUGUACCAUGAGCAAAGCUAAGCGCUAAAAGCAGUUGGCACCCCAACUGAUCGGAUGUCCAAGCGUGGUAUAACAAGGGACCGGUCCAAUUGGACCCAGAUGUUCUGGCAUUCUUUACUGGCCUAGCUUGGAUGAAACUUCGCUUCUCUCGGGACUUUCUCUUCACCCUCGGGUGUUUGCAGAGAGAGUCCCGGAGAUCGAGGUGUUGAAGGGGGUCGUUUCUGUGUUCAGGGGACCGGGCGGCGAGCGGUGAAACGCUUUGACCCGUCUCGGGACCACCAAAGGCGAAAGCACUGAACAGGGCUCGACCCGCCAAUCAAGAGCGAGUGUGCGGGGAUCGAAGAGGAUCAGAUACCCUCGUAGUCCGCGCUGUAAACCCUGCCGACCAAGGAUGGGGGUCGCGUUCCAUCGGAAUGUCUUCCCCUGUCCUUCCCCCCACAACGAGAAAUCCAAGUAUAUGGGUUCAGGGGGGAGUACGGUUGCAAGACUGAAACUUAAAGGAAUUGACGGAAUGGCACCACAAGGCGUGGAGUGUGCGGCCUAAUUUGACUCAACACGGGAAACCUUACCUGGAUAGCACGUGGAAAGGAUAUGACAGGGURAAUCACUUUCGUGAUAACCCGGCGAGUGGUGCAUGGUCGUUCUUGGUUGGUGAAGUGAUUUGUCUGGUUGAUUCCGUUAACGAGCGAGGUCUUCACCUUUCAGUAGCCAGCGUUCUCGCUCGCAGUAGGUCUUAAGGGCACGAACCCCUUCUUCCCUCUCGGGGGGAGUUUGGGGCGAUGAGCCUAGACCGAGAGUGACGCGCGGUUGCUUCUCAGUGGGUUCAGAUACUUCGUCUACGACUAAGUGUCUACAGCCGGAAGCCGACAGCAGGUCUGUGAUGCCCUUAGAUGCCCAGGGCCGCACGCGCACGACAAUGCCGUCGUGAACGUGCUGGAAUUCCCCUGGUGUGCGUCUGUGCAUUCCAAGUUCUAUCGCAGGGGAGGGGGGGGAGGCAACUCCCUUUUCUCCCAUCGGUGGGGCUUGGUUUACACUUGCCACUGCUAUUCAGGAAUCCGUGGUUUGAUGAUGAACUGGGAAACCCCUAAGCCUUUGUGACGUGAUUGGGGAUCGGUACUUGCCACUGUUGGCCUUUAACGAGGAAUGCCCAGUAAGUGUAGGUCAUCAGCCUACGCUGACUAUGUCCCUGCCAUUUGUACACACCGCCCGUCGUUGCUACCGAUGGCGUUGGGAUAGAGGCCCGAGGAAGCUAGUAGCCUAAGAGGGGUUCAGACCAUCGGUUUUCCCUUCGCUUGGUGAACGACGAAUUCGGCCAAUAUCCCAUUGCUGGAGGAAGCAAAAGUCGUAACAAGGUAGCUGUAGGUGA